rnacentral:rRNA from 1 species
GACGAACGCUGGCGGCGUGCUUAACACAUGCAAGUCGAACGGAAAGGCCCUGCUUUUGUGGGGUGCUCGAGUGGCGAACGGGUGAGUAACACGUGAGUAACCUGCCCUUGACUUUGGGAUAACUUGAGGAAACUGGGGCUAAUACCGGAUAGGAGCUCCUGCUGCAUGGUGGGGGUUGGAAAGUUUCGGCGGUUGGGGAUGGACUCGCGGCUUAUCAGCUUGUUGGUGGGGUAGUGGCUUACCAAGGCUUUGACGGGUAGCCGGCCUGAGAGGGUGACCGGCCACAUUGGGACUGAGAUACGGCCCAGACUCCUACGGGAGGCAGCAGUGGGGAAUAUUGCACAAUGGGCGGAAGCCUGAUGCAGCAACGCCGCGUGCGGGAUGACGGCCUUCGGGUUGUAAACCGCUUUCGCCUGUGACGAAGCGUGAGUGGCGGUAAUGGGUAAAGAAGCACCGGCUAACUACGUG